GAUGAACGCUAGCUACAGGCUUAACACAUGCAAGUCGAGGGGAAACGGCAUCGAAAGCUUGCUUUUGAUGGGCGUCGACCGGCGCACGGGUGAGUAACGCGUAUCCAACCUGCCCAUCACUUGGGAAUAACCUUGCGAAAGUAAGACUAAUGCCCAAUGACAUCCCACGAAGGCAUCCGAAUGGGAUUAAAGAUUUAUCGGUGAUGGAUGGGGAUGCGUCUGAUUAGCUUGUUGGCGGGGUGACGGCCCACCAAGGCAACGAUCAGUAGGGGUUCUGAGAGGAAGGUCCCCCACAUUGGAACUGAGACACGGUCCAAACUCCUACGGGAGGCAGCAGUGAGGAAUAUUGGUCAAUGGGCGAGAGCCUGAACCAGCCAAGUAGCGUGCAGGAUGACGGCCCUAUGGGUUGUAAACUGCUUUUAUAAGGGAAUAAAGUGGGUCACGUGUGACUUCUUGCAUGUACCUUAUGAAUAAGGACCGGCUAAUUCCGUG
rnacentral:rRNA from 1 species